rnacentral:rRNA from 1 species
GAUGAACGCUAGCGACAGGCCUAACACAUGCAAGUCGAGGGGCAGCGUGCCGUAGCAAUACGGUGACGGCGACCGGCGCACGGGUGAGUAACGCGUAUGCAACCUGCCCGCGGACGCGGGAUAGCCUCCCGAAAGGGAGAUUAAACCCGCAUGGCGAGGACUGGCCGCAUGGCCUAUCCUCCAAACACCAGGGUCCGCGGAUGGGCAUGCGUUCCAUUAGGUAGUAGGCGGGGCAACGGCCCACCUAGCCUGCGAUGGAUAGGGGUCCUGAGAGGGAAGUCCCCCACACUGGUACUGAGACACGGACCAGACUCCUACGGGAGGCAGCAGUGAGGAAUAUUGGUCAAUGGGCGAGAGCCUGAACCAGCCAUGUCGCGUGCAGGACUACGGCCCUACGGGUCUUAAACUGCUUUUGCCGGGGAUAAAGGUCGGGGUUCGCCCCCGUUCGCAGGUACCCGGCGAAUAAGGAUCGGCUAACUCCGUGCCAGCAGCCGCGGUAAUCUGUAGUCGUC